AAUGCAUCCCUGGAUCAUAGCGGACUCUGCCUAUAGAGGCCUGGGGUCCCUUUGGCAGCACUUUUGUCAAGAAAGUAGAGUCGUGGACAACCAACUGCACAGGUUGGGAGGCUUUGAAGAACAAGCUGCCAUGAAUCCUGCAGCUACAAGGAAAUGAACUCUAUUAACUUGAGUGAGCUUAAAACUAGAUCCUUCCCCAGUCAAGCCUCCAGGUGAGAAUUCAGUCCUGGCUGGCACCUGGAUUGCAGCUUACAGAAGACCCAGCUAAGGCCAUGUCUGGACUUUAAAUCCACAGGAACUGCAAGAUGGUAUCAGAAGUGGGACCUGCAGUGGGGCAUCUAGCAACCCCCAGGAGCAUUAAGUGACAAGGCUUGGGACCCACCGGGCCCAGGGUGUCCAUUGUUCUCUCGAAGCAACUGAGAAUUGUGGAUAUUCUUCAUUAUUCCAUCAUCAUCUCAAACCUCUUGGGUAUAGUGUUUGACUGCUACUGUGACCAUAAAUUCCAAUAAAACCUAGGAAAAAAUGAAACCACUACAU
rnacentral:lncRNA from 1 species